rnacentral:rRNA from 1 species
UGGGGAAUUUUGGACAAUGGGCGAAAGCCUGAUCCAGCCAUGCCGCGUGAGUGAAGAAGGCCUUCGGGUUGUAAAGCUCUUUUAGUCGGAAAGAAAGAGUUGCAAUGAAUAAUUGUGAUUUAUGACGGUACCGACAGAAAAAGCACCGGCUAACUACGUGCCAGCAGCCGCGGUAAUACGUAGGGUGCGAGCGUUACUCGGAAUUACUGGGCGUAAAGCGUGCGUAGGUGGUUGUUUAAGUCUGAUGUGAAAGCCCUGGGCUCAACCUGGGAAUGGCAUUGGAAACUGGGCAGCUAGAGUGCGGUAGAGGGUAGUGGAAUUCCCGGUGUAGCAGUGAAAUGCGUAGAGAUCGGGAGGAACAUCUGUGGCGAAGGCGACUGCCUGGACCAGCACUGACACUGAGGCACGAAAGCGUGGGGAGCAAACA